rnacentral:rRNA from 1 species
GAUGAACGCUGGCGGCGUGCCUAAUACAUGCAAGUCGAGCGAACAGACGAGGAGCUUGCUCCUCUGACGUUAGCGGCGGACGGGUGAGUAACACGUGGAUAACCUACCUAUAAGACUGGGAUAACUUCGGGAAACCGGAGCUAAUACCGGAUAAUAUAUUGAACCGCAUGGUUCAAUAGUGAAAGACGGUUUUGCUGUCACUUAUAGAUGGAUCCGUGCCGCAUUAGCUAGUUGGUAAGGUAACGGCUUACCAAGGCAACGAUGCGUAGCCGACCUGAGAGGGUGAUCGGCCACACUGGAACUGAGACACGGUCCAGACUCCUACGGGAGGCAGCAGUAGGGAAUCUUCCGCAAUGGGCGAAAGCUUGACGGAGCAACGCCGCGUGAGUGAUGAAGGUCUUCGGAUCGAAAAACUCUGUUAUUAGGGAAGAACAAAUGUGUAAGUAACUAUGCACGUCUUGACGGUACCUAAUCAGAAAGCCACGGCUAACUACGUG